rnacentral:rRNA from 1 species
AUUGAACGCUGGCGGCAGGCCUAACACAUGCAAGUCGAGCGGAUGAAGGGAGCUUGCUCCUGGAUUCAGCGGCGGACGGGUGAGUAAUGCCUAGGAAUCUGCCUGGUAGUGGGGGAUAACGUCCGGAAACGGGCGCUAAUACCGCAUACGUCCUGAGGGAGAAAGUGGGGGAUCUUCGGACCUCACGCUAUCAGAUGAGCCUAGGUCGGAUUAGCUAGUUGGUGGGGUAAAGGCCUACCAAGGCGACGAUCCGUAACUGGUCUGAGAGGAUGAUCAGUCACACUGGAACUGAGAAACGGUCCAGACACCGACGGGAGGAAGCAGUGGGGAAUAUUGGACAAGGGGCGAAAGCCUGAUCCAGCCAUGCCGCGUGUGUGAAGAAGGUCUUCGGAUUGUAAAGCACUUUAAGUUGGGAGGAAGGGAAGUAAGUUAAUACCUUGCUGUUUUGACGUUACCAACAGAAUAAGCACCGGCUAACUUCGUG